CGGCUCCGCCCCCUCCCCGCACACGUCUGGUCCCGCAGCGCGUGGGGCCGCGAGGCGCUGGGGCCCGAAGAGGAUCUAAACUUCUGUCGCUGCUUGGAAUAUCCUAGAAAGGGUCCGGGCCGCGGAGUGGACGCUGCGUCCCCUGGGAGAUCUCUCGUCUCGGCUCGUAGAGUGAAGAAUGGCGAGGAACUCACUCUGUGACCAGGUAAACUGAGUCACUAGAUGCCUGAGCGAAGAUGCGUCUGACUAGGGAAACAGGGCAGUUCCCACUGAACUGGAAAAGCCAGAGCAAGCGGAGGUGAGAAAGACGCCUGGAGCCCGGAAGGAACUAGUUCCAGAAGGCACAUUCUGGGCCCGUGGAAGCGGAAGGGUACCGGCUCUGGACCCCGGAAUCCACCAGCUUCAUUCGAUGCAGCUUUCAGAGGAUUCGCAUACCCUUUCCUCACCCACCUCACCGUGGAUCCUUCGCCCAUGCUUGUCACCACACCCCCGACUUGGAGAAGGCCCCAAACUCCGGAUUCACAUUUCCAACAGCCACUGACACCUUCACUUGUAUAUCUAAUAGACACCUUAAACUUUUAAAACAGUCCCUUCGACCUGAUCCUUCCGCAGUCACCUCCCCCAGGUAACAUAACUAAAUGGCCCCACUCUCUAUCCAGUUGGGAAAGUCGGAAAGAGUCAGUGUUCCCUAUCUUCUACCGUCACAUUCCAUCCAUCAGCAAAUCCUAUAAGUUGUUUCUAAAUAAUAUCUCCAAUUGAUCCACUUCCCUCAAUUUCCAAAAUCACAAACCUAGUCCAAACCCCCAUUAUCAGUCUCCUGGUCUAAUAUCUGGUCUCCUUGCUUCCAGUCUUCCCUGUUAGGACCCACCGUUUGUAAAACAGUGAUCGCAUUUUAAAAAUAAAAAAUAAAUUUUUUAAAAAUAAAAAGAAAUAAGAUCUCAUCACCGUUUUCUUUAAAACUCCUCCAUGGCUUCAGAAUAAAAUCCAAACGCCCUGGCAUAGUAUACAGGGCUUUACACAAUUGGGCCCCUGCCUGUGUUUCUCCCUUCAGCCCACGCUCUUCUGCUCCUCACUCACUGUUCUGCCACUCCAGCCUCCUUGCUUUUCCCCCAGCAGAACAAGUCUUUUCCCACUGCAGUCUUCAUGCCUGCUGCUUUCCUUCUCUUUCUGGAGUGUUCCCUCUCCCAGCACUCCACAUGUCUGGCUUACCUUUAAGUUUCAGCUCUUCACAGAGGCCUUCCCCAUCCAUCCAGCCUAAAGACCCCCUCCACAAGCACAUCACUUUGGUUUAUUUUCUUCACAGCACUGAAUGUGUGUAUUGUUUUCUGAUCCCUCUCUACAAUGGAAGCUCCAUAAAACUGUCUGUUUUGUUCAUACUGUAUCACUAAUACCUGGUACUACACGGGUGCUUAAUAUAUAUUUGUUGAAUAAAUGAAUGAAUGAUGAAUGAAUGAAUAAAUAAAAGGUUGGCAGCCU